rnacentral:rRNA from 1 species
AGAUUGAACGCUGGCGGCAGGCCUAACACAUGCAAGUCGAGCGGUAGAGAGGUGCUUGCAUCUCUUGAGAGCGGCGGACGGGUGAGUAAUGCCUAGGAAUCUGCCUAGUGGUGGGGGAUAACGUUCGGAAACGGACGCUAAUACCGCAUACGUCCUACGGGAGAAAGGCGGGGGACCUUCGGGCCUCGCGCCAUUAGAUGAGCCUAGGUCGGAUUAGCUAGUUGGUGA